UUAAUAGAAGCCAAAAAGAGGCUAUUCACUGUUAAUGAAUAAAAUGUCCACGCCUAUUAAG
rnacentral:tRNA from 1 species